GUGCUUGCUUCAGCAGCACAUAUACUGAAAUUGAAAAGAUAUAGAAAAGAUAAGCAUAUCCCCUGCACAAGGAUGACAUGCAAUAUCGUGAAGCAUUCCAUAAAAAU